AUGCAAAGUUCUCACAGCUCCAGCCCAAGGCCCCGGCCACCUCCAGCUCUGGGAAGUACGCUGCUGCCUGCUGGACCCAGACCAGGAGAUCCAGGUGGGGAGAGCAUACCCCGCUCCCACGGCCCCGCCAAGGGGACGCAUGUGUUUCCUUUCUGUCAGAGUACAUCCAACGCGGCAGGCACGUUGCCAGGGAGACGUGAGCGCCGGCCUGAGACGGGACAGUCUGCACCCCGCGUUGUCCAGGGCUGGGGACGACACCCGCCGAGGCUGAGAAGGCCGAGAAGGCUGAGAACGGGUAUCGGAGCAGGAAAUGAGCCUAGCGGAGCCUCGGACCUUGGCCCACGGAGGAGGCCGCGCGGGCCCCCAAUUAAAGCUGGUACAUCUGUCGGGGCGGCCUGGGGACAGGCAACAGAUUCCCCCGCAGACAUCUGCCUCAGGAGGAGCAUGCUGGCUGAAGACUCGGGGUGGGGGCGGCCACUGCAAGCUGCUGACUGCGCCCAGGGGAGGGAGGGAGAGAGGGAGGGAAGGGGGCCGGGAGGCGGCUCUUUUUAUAGCAAGCAAACAAACAAACUGUUUUGCUUUAAGAAGCCAAAAAGGAAAAAAGAAAAAGAAAGAAAGAAAGAGAAUAUGUCUCUGCUGGCUACUGGAAGAGCGGCAGGCACCAUCUGGGGCAGCCGAGGGGAGAAGGCGAGGAGCCAGGCACGCAGGGGCCAGGGCCUGCCUUCCGGGGCCCCUCCGACAGCUGGGCACUGGGCCCUGGGAUGCACUGGGCCCAAGGCCACGCUGUGUGUGACUCACCCCGACUCCUCCCGGGAGCCCAGGAUGCUUCCCCGGUUUCCCAGGGGAUGGCUUGAGCCCCAGCCAGCAAUCAAGGCUACAGGCGGCGAGUGGGAGGCCAGGGUGCAGCCCCCCCCCCCGCCCCGCCACGAGGCCGUCUGUCUCGUGUCCUCCAGCGAGCCCUGUGCGGAGCCCCCUCUCCCCCUCAUCCCCUUCCCUGUCACCUCUGUUACCACCAUCCUCCCUCUGGUCUUCCGAGCCGAGAACUGA
rnacentral:lncRNA from 12 species